rnacentral:misc_RNA from 1 species
UUCACCAGAGUCAGGGCUUAUGUAUAUAGGAACCAGCCCUUCUACCUUUGGUAGGUUCUUCAUAUGCUCUAAAACCUUCAUAGCUUCCAUGCUGUACUUUGGAUCACCACAAACUGUACUGAGAUAAUUGAACUCAAGCUGCAAAGUUGAGACUUCUGAAGUACUACUCAAACCAUCAGGAGCGCGAUGUGCUGAGGGAUCGUGUAGAACAACAUCACUAAAGGGAAUAGGAGUUGGACUGGAAGUAAAAGCCACUAGCAGACGAUCAGCUAACUUUCUAGCAGUUUCUAGAUAAAAAAUUGGUUUUGGCCCCUCACGCAUAGAGUUAGUCUGUUGUCCCCCUCCGCUUAAAUGAUAUGCACUUAAAAGA